rnacentral:lncRNA from 1 species
CUCAAAUAUUAUUAUGAGUAUUGCAAAAUUUUAUUUGGCUAUAAAAACAGAAAGAGCAAACAAACAACUUCAAGUCCUUAAUAAGCAUCAGAACAAAUGAUCAUAAUUCUACUCUCCCUAUAUAGAUUUUUAUUGUAUCACCUCCCCUGCUCAUUAUACUUCUCACAGGAUGAGGGUUCUCCAUAUUUUAAGUGACAGUAAGGAAGCAGGAAAAUCUAAUAAAAUAAAAAUAUUCAAAAGCAUCCCUACAUAUAUCCCUAAAAUACAUCGCUUCUUUUUUCAUUUAAAGAAAUCAUUUAGAAACAAAAAAAGAUAUAAAUGACCACACAGUGGGAAAGUCCCAUGAUC